CAGCAGCCGCGGUAAUACGGAGGGUGCAAGCGUUAUCCGGAUUCACCGGGUUUAAAGGGUGCGUAGGCGGAUAGAUAAGUCAGUGGUGAAAGACGGUGGCUCAACCAUCGCAGUGCCGUUGAUACUGUUUAUCUUGAAUAUGGAUGAGGUAGGCGGAAUGUGGCAAGUAGCGGUGAAAUGCAUAGAUAUGCCACAGAACACCGGUGGCGAAGGCGGUUCUCUGGGAAUGUUUUGACGCUGAGGAGCGAAAGUGUGGGGAGCGAACAGGAUUAGAUGACCCCCGUAGUCCCUGUCUCUUAUU
rnacentral:rRNA from 1 species